rnacentral:rRNA from 1 species
GACGAACGCUGGCGGCGUGCUUAACACAUGCAAGUCGAACGGAAAGGCCCUGCUUUGGUGGUGUGCUCGAGUGGCGAACGGGUGAGUAACACGUGAGUAACCUGCCCUUUACUUUGGGAUAACUUCAGAAAACUGGGGCUAAUACCGGAUAGGAGCUCCUGCUGCAUGGUGUGGGUUGGAAAGUUUCGGCGGUUGGGGAUGGACUCGCGGCUUAUCAGCUUGUUGGUGGGGUAGUGGCUUACCAAGGCUUUGACGGGUAGCCGGCCUGAGAGGGUGACCGGCCACAUUGGGACUGAGAUACGGCCCAGACUCAUACGGGAGGCAGCAGUGGGGAAUAGUGCACAAUGGGCGGAAGCCUGAUGCAGCAACGCCGCGUGCGGGAUGACGGCCUUAGGGUUGUAACCCGCUUUCGCCUGUGACGAAGCGUGAGUGACGGUAAUGGGUAAAGAAGCACCGGCUAACUACGUG